GCACGAAGUUAGCCGGGGCUUAUUCUGCGGGUACCGUCAUUAUCGUCCCCGCCAAAAGAGCUUUACAACCCUAAGGCCGUCGUCACUCACGCGGCAUGGCUGGGUCAGGCUUGCGCCCAUUGCCCAAUAUUCCCCACUGCUGCCUCCCGUAGGAGUCUGGGCCGUGUCUCAGUCCCAGUGUGGCUGAUCAUCCUCUCAGACCAGCUAAGGAUCGUCGCCUUGGUGAGCCAUUACCUCACCAACUAGCUAAUCCUACGCGGGCCCAUCCUAUAGCGAUAAAUCUUUCCCCUUUCGGGCGUAUACGGUAUUGCUCCAAGUUUCCCUGGUAUAUUCCGUACUAUAGGGAAGGUUCCCACGCGUUACUCACCCGUCUGCCACUCCCUAUUGCUAGGGCGUUCGACUUGCAUGUGUUAGGCCUGCCGCCAGCGUUCGUU
rnacentral:rRNA from 1 species